rnacentral:rRNA from 1 species
CAAUUGAAGGGUUUGAUCCUGGCUCAGAACGAACGCUGGCGGCGUGGUUGAUACAUGCAAGUCGAACGGGAAAGGGGGCUUCGGUCCCCCGGUACAGUGGCGGACGGGUGAGUAACACGUGAGCAAUCUGCCCUCAAGAUGGGGAUAGCUAUCCGAAAGGAUAGAUAAUACCAAAUAAGACCACGGGUUCGCAUGAACCUGUGGUAAAAAGGUGCGCAAGUGCCGCUUGAGGAUGAGCUCGCGUCCUAUUAGUUAGUUGGCGGGGUAACGGCCCACCAAGACGAUGAUGGGUAGCCGGACUAAGAGGUUGAACGGCCACAUUGGAACUGAGACACGGUCCAGACUCCUACGGGAGGCAGCAGUGCUGAAUCAUUCGCAAUGCGCGAAAGCGUGACGGUGCGACGCCGCGUGCAGGAAGAAGGCCUUCGGGUCGUAAACUGCUGUCAGGGAUUAGGAAAAAAUUGGUGUAGAGCCAAUCUCGACCAAUCCCAAAGGAAGCACAGGCUAAUCUCGUGCCAGCAGCCGCGGUAAUACGAGGUGUGCGAGCGUUGUUCGGAAUUACUGGGCAUAAAGGGUUCGUAGGUGGCUCCAUAAGUUGGGAGUGAAAUCCCUCGGCUUAACCGGGGAAUUGCUUUCAAUACUGUGGGGAUUGAGUGCUAAAGGGGUAACUGGAAUCCCAGGUGUAGCGGUGGAAUGCGUAGAUAUCUGGGAGAACGCCAAAAGCGAAGGCAGGUUACUGGGUAGCAACUGACACUGAGGAACGAAAGUUAGGGGAGCAAACAGGAUUAGAUACCCUGGUAGUCCUAACUGUAAACGAUGGGCACUGCGCAAUGGAGGAGUCGAUCUUUCGUUGCGGUAGCAAAUGCGUCAAGUGCCCCGCCUGGGGAGUAUGGUCGCAAGGCUAAAACUCAAAGGAAUUGACGGGGGCUCACACAAGCGGUGGAGCAUGUUGUUUAAUUCGAAGCAACGCGAAGAACCUUACCUGGGUUUGAAAUGCAGGGAUUAUCUCUAUGAAAGUAGAGUGAUUGCCGCAAGGUGUAACCUGCACAGGUGCUGCAUGGCUGUCGUCAGCUCGUGCCGUGAGGCGUCGGGUUAAGUCCCUUAACGAGCGAAACCCCUGUCGUAUGUUGCCAGCGAGUAAUGUCGGGCACUCUUACGAGACUGCCGGUGUCAAACCGGAGGAAGGCGGGGACGACGUCAAGUCAUCAUGGUCCUUACAUCCAGGGCUACAAACGUGCUACAAUGGCGGAUACAGAGAGACGCAAGACCGUGAGGUGGAGCAAAUCUUCAAAACCCGCCCCAGUUCGGAUUGGAGGCUGCAAUUCGCCUCCAUGAAGUUGGAAUCGCUAGUAAUCGCGGAUCAGCUACGCCGCGGUGAAUACGUUCCUGAGCCUUGUACACACCGCCCGUCAAGCCACCCAAGCUGAAAGCGCCCGAAGCCCGGCAAUAAUAGUCCGGUCGAAGGCGAGUUUGGUGAGGGGGACUAAGUCGUAACAAGGUAGCCGUAGGAGAACCUGCGGCUGGAUCACCUCCUUU